UUUUGCAGCUUUAGUGACCCCUUCCCUUGUUAAGCCCAGUAGGACAAGUGUUGACGUAAUGUCUCAGCAACCCUGCAAAGCACAUCAUCUGUUUCCCUGUGUCACAACCACCUUAGAGUGAGGCCCCCUGCCCUGCCUGCCUGCAAGUCGGUUCCUGUUUUCAGUGUUACAAAGUUUAGCACAAAGUUUAGCCCCUCACUAACUAAAUGUUUUAAGACUUCUUGAGAUUACACGUGACAGAAAGUUCGGGCGAAGAAAACGUUUGGAGGACAUGCUUACCAACAAAUAAUUUUACAGUUGAAGAACUUGAGAGGGCAGUGAAAGAGGAAUUAAAUGUACCUGACAGCUUUGUUCUGCAUUACCUGGAUACGGAAUUUGGAGAAUUUUUUUUUCAUUGACUUCUACAGCUACUUUGAAGGACAAAGAUACCAUUGAGGUGGUUUUUGUAGAGCCUGUGUUUAUCACUUUAACGGCAAUAGACUGCCCUCAGAAUACCUCCACUUCCUGUCAACUGUGUUUUCAGUCAAUUCAUCAGAUGUCUCAUCUGCUCAGCAUGGAUUAGAUGAUACAGUGUUGCUAUCCCCUCUGAGGAGUCAAGGGUUGCGUUCACAACACUGGCCAGCUCACUUUGACAUUCCUGAAUUUCCAUAUGACACAGAGCUAACUCUGCAGACAGGAAAUGAUGAGUUUCUUAAAAACGGGGUUCUCUUAAACAAUCACAGUGUGAGGUUUCAGAUUUCUCACACUAUUCAAAAAGUAUUCCAGUACUGUGCAUACCCCACCAGCAAUCAGGUAUGUGCGGUUGCACAGGCCUUAAUUGAAAAGUAUCCGUGCUUGAGGGAGCCUGGUCAUUGUCUGGGUAUAAUGGUUGGUUAUCCAGAUUGAAGAAUAAAAUGGCCAACUAUAGAAAGAAACUAAAACAGCCUGGAUGCCCAGAAUUGGCUGUUAACUUCUCACAAAACAAGAGGCCUGCUGCGUAAAGCUGAGUUGAACUACCUUCCCCCUCUCCCAUCUGAUGAAAACAAACUUUGGAGAGACUGAGAAUAGAGCUUCUCAGUGACAUCAAGGAAAAUCGGAAAGCUGUUCUGAUGGCCAGAACCUUUUCCUCUCAGACAGGAAAUAGUUGAGGACAGCCCUCCUGUACACGACCUGUUGCAGAGAUGGCCAGCCCUUUUUGAUGUCAUUCAGAUGAAAGAAGAAUUCAGAAGGUUGACAGCCAUUGAUUUGGAAUCAGAGUUCUAUUCUAACCUAGACAAAUAUACAGAUAGACUCCUCAGUUUAUACCACUCCAAGGGAGGAAAUGCUGCAAGUAAAAUGCAUGAUUUGCUGAUGCUGCUGGACCAGUAAGGAUGCUGGUGUGGACGACCGUAGAAAUGUAGUGAUUCGUGGCUUGAAGGUACACUUCUCUGAAAAUGCUGAGCACCUCAUCACACACUACCAGGUUAGUGUAGUACAGUGUACAUCCACCACACCUUUUCCCUGUCAUGUGUAGUACAGGUGGAUCCUGAAGUGCCUCUGUUACCACUACAGAUGUGAUUUAAUCUGGCCUCAUCAAAUUUCACAAAUCCAUAGGUCAAGAACUAAACUACAAAGCAGGCUCAGACUUUACAAACUGGCACAUUACGUAAUUAAAAUAUUUGGUCCAGAUGACCCUGCAUGGUCAAAGUAUAUCCUUAAAAUUGCCAAAAUUUAAUUAAUAAUUAAAUGUUUAGCUCUCAGAAACAGAUAUUUCACCUUUCAAUUUGAUGGAAACAAAUAAAUCCUAAGGCACAUUGUUGUCAUCCCCAUUAAAACACUUUGAUUUUGUUGUAUAGAAUAACUGUAAAGGUACCAAUAUGCAGAAUUUGAGCCUACUAGGUGGUUUAGUUAUUGAUAAAUGAUUUUGAGAAGUUUAUCAAAAGCUCAGGCUGUCACUCUGACACCCCUCUCCCAUCACAGAAUUGGCUGCAUGGGUACACAUGGUAUUUAUUCUGAAUUUUUGAGACUGAAAUGUGUAGGAUUUAUGGAAAAUUGGUUGAUUUGAUGUGGAAUAACCCUGUAGUUAUUGCUAUCACAAUAUUUUUCCACUCAGUUUUUUGUAAUGACCUUCAUUUCAAAUCUUAUAGUGUGACACAUGGCUCGUCCAAUCUUCAUGUGUGCCACGCCCCCUGAUCAUCCACGUGAGCUUCCCAGAUCAUGCCCAGCUGUUUCCGGUUAUUUUCGGCUUGUCUUUUUUAUAUCAGUCCACGUCUUGCCCUGUCUAAUGUCGGUCAUUGUUGUAACAUGCGUCUCUAUACCCCACGUCAGCUCUAAUAAACCCUCGUUUGCCCGUAUUCCGCCUACAUGCCUUGUCCUUCGCCGCUUCCAGCCCGCCCGUCCUCCAUGGUGCCUAACAGAAUGACUGACCGCCAAGCCAAUACGCCGCAGCAGACCGAGAGCCAACGUCUCGGUCUGCUGCAAGAGGUGACCUAUUGGCUCAAACAGCCCGAGGUCCAGGAGGACCCGGUGGCGCUGGAAGUGGUCGAGCAGAGCGGCAACCUCCUGGCGCGGAUGUCCCCGGCUGGAGACGCGUACCUGUUAGCGGAGAGUGGCAGCACCCGUUUUUACCAUGCCUGAUCUGCCUGUCCUGCUGGCACCUGAUCUGCCUGUGCUUCCUGCAUCCACUGCGCCCCCUGCUGGACCCAAGUCGGCGGCUGCAGCACCGCCCGAGGCCCCUCUGCCUCUGCCUGAGCUGCCGUCCGCGGCACUACCCAAGCUUCCGCCUCCACCCGAGCCGCCGCCUCCACCCGUGGCUCCGGCUGCCUCUGUGAUCAUUGUCUCUGUGGCCCAAGUCCCAGUGCCUGACCCUACUCCAGUCCCUCCAGCUCUAGUCCAUGAGGAGGUCCCGGACAAGCUGACCAUCGUUCCUUCCUCCUUGGAGGAGGAGGAGCUCGAAUAGGACUCCUUGGGGACCUCCCUGAUGACUUCUCUUCCCUCGCCCCAGCGAGGUCGAUCCCUACCUGAGCUCCACAUGUCUGUGUCCCGGAAAGGAAGAGGACACAGGAUACUCAUGGCGAACUGAACCCUGAUGACCUGAAACACCACACUCUAAAGAUUGUAACCAAAGAGAGCUCUGCAGAUGGCAGUCCGUUAGAGGCAGGGAAUAUUUUGGAGGGGAUACAGGUGAUUGCAGGAUUACAAUGUAUCACAAAUGCAUGUGCCAUCCUUCUUCACCUGAUGUAUGUUCUUAAUCUGAGCUAUCCCAAGCCACUGAGAUACAUAUUUGAAUUCUUCCAUAAACCUCUACUGGAAUUCAACAGUGGGAACCUGUCCCUAAAGAUGCUCUCUUUAAAGAACAAUCUGUUGGCAUACAGUACAUGUAUGGUAAACAGUGAUAUGGUUGAAAAUGCAGCCACAUACUUCCACAUCAGACCUCUAAGAUCUUGGAAGAUCACUAUUUUUUUUUCUUAUUUUUCCAUUGAUAAAGGGUUUGUUUUAUUUUAUUGUGUUAUUAGUUUAUGGCAGUGAGGACGUUUUUUUAACUGAUAAUGUAGCAUACUGUUAUGUUUUUCAGUUAAAACUUAAGAGGUGGGCAGUGAUUAAGGGGAUUUUACUACAUUGUAAGUUUGUGUUUGAGUUGCAAACAUACUUAUGUACCAGAACGGUAACAUUUUUGUUUUGAGUUAUAAGAAAAAUGGUGAUUUUUUUAAAUUUUAUUUUCAUUGGCUGUUAAAGGAAAGGCUGUAUACCAUUUUGUAUUUUCAGAAAAUAAAUUAAUAUAGAUUUGAAGUUGAAGACUUA